rnacentral:lncRNA from 1 species
UAGACGACACCAGUUGCUUCCACCAGCUUGAAGCAUAACCACAAAACUCAGCAGUGGUUAAUUGAACCUUCUUUACUUCAGCAUAGCUUUAAUAGUCGAAAAUCAACUCCAUCUUCUCUUCCCAUUCCACAUAUGCAGCAGGAUCAGCGUUGCCAUGGAAAGGAGGGAUUUUUAGCUUUUGAUCAGCAAAUUUAUCUUUGUGACUGCCUCUGCCUUCAUGCUCACGUCUUUGUCUCCUCUCGCUGCGCCUAGACUCAUGAUUCUGAUCAGUAGCUCGUGG